UAUUUAAAUUUGUUACAUUUAAGGUUAUAAAACUGGUGCUGAAAUUUUGGUAAUUGAAGAAUGUUACUUAAAAAUUAAAUACUUGUAAAUUGUAAUAAAAGCUUUUUGUAUUAAUAUACAUAAAACAUUUAAUAAAUAUGCUGCCUCACCUCGAGCUGCCAAGCAGAUGACUCAAGGUAAAAUUGUGCUCGUUCAGGUUCAACACCAGUUACAUCUGUAAAUUGCGAAACCAACUCUUCGUGGCUCGCCAUUGAUUGCAAAUAUUAGAUCACUUACGGUGGAUUGGAAAUUGUACCUGAUUCUAAACUGCUGCUAAAAUUCCUCUUGCAAUAAUUUUCUUUGUUCAGUAAUUUAACUUUACGUCAAUUUCUUCAAUUUACCUGUCAUUCCUUCCAUUUAUAUGGAACCGAACCGGAUAUAUAUAGUCAGCGAAUCCGCGAAAUAUUUGAAUAUACACUUUAUUUCCAUCUUAAUUUUUUACUAAUUUUUUCAACUACACACAACACACUGCCCCAAGUUAUAGAAUAAUAGUUACUUUAACCAUUAUUUAUUAUAUUAUUAGAAAUGUAUAUAUAUAUAUAUACAUAUAUGUACACAUAUAUAAUUUUCAUAAAAAAUUUUUUCCGAAAUUUAGAUUAUGAAGUAUGACAAUACAAAGCCGUGCCACAUUUUAUCCAAUGGGCUUCACUUUGGUCUGUUAUUAAAGGUAUGUUAAUUAUGUAAUUCAUCGAUGUAAAUUUAAUAUUUUUAUCAGCAUAUUGAAUAGCAGUUACAUAGACAGGACAGUCAUAAACUUUAUUUGUUUCCUUUUUAGUGCGCAAAAAUUUGACGCAUAUGGGCGGCAUAGUUUGAUAAAAUACAUGUGUAAAAUUUUCGGUUAACAUAUUUCUUUUAACGUCCCACUGAGCGCCAGAUAAAUGCAAACCACAAAUAAAAUAUGCAUCAACAUCUUCUGUAUCAGUUUCUUCAAUCAUAACUUGAAAUUCAAGUUCAACUUCUUCAAUGGGUACAUGAUAUUUUUUUGAAAAUGAUAAUGAAAUUGCGGAAAAGAACAUUUUACUAUAAAAUAAUGCAUCAAGCCAAAUAAUUUUAGGGCAACUUUCAUUCAUCCAUUGUUUUAGAAAUUUUAUGCGUUUUGCCAAAUUAUCAAUGUAAUAUCCUAAAUUAUCAGUUAUGUUAUUAUUCUUUAGUCUCUUCCAGGUAUGAGGAACUUUAUUUUCAUAAAUUUCUUUUGUCAAUUUAUUUAAAGAAUCAGUAAAUGGGACAGAACCAUCAAAUGCUAAUUUCAAUUCAUUUAAUGUUUGAGUUAUAAUUGUUAAAAUAUGUUUUAACAACGUUGCUUCACACAGAAGAACUCUAUCUAAUGAUUCUUGAAACAAAAAUGUUUUAUUCUCUUCCAAUUGAUUAAUUUCAAAUGAGUCAUCUAAUUUAUCAUUGAUAUCAUUAAUUAAACAUAGUAUUUGGUCUUGGGGAAAUUGAUCAUGUAAUAAAGAAUCAAUAGGAUUCAUGCAUGAGAUAGAGGCUAAAAAUUCAGUGGCCAUCAUUGUAUCUCGAAUAAUAGCUCCAUUUUUACUAAAUUUGAAAACUUCAGAUGAUAUAUCUAAGGGCAUUCCUUCAAUAUAUUCAAUUACAUAAUGAUAUUCGCAUUUCUGUGGUAUCAAGUGUACUAAAUUACUUAUGCAUGUAUGUUGUUCAUCUUCAACUAUGUCCAAGUUACAAUAAUCCAUUAAAAAAUACAUUAAACUUUUGAUAUCAAAAUUAUCCAUAAUUCUUCCUCCAUAGUUACAUUUUCCAAUGUAAUACACAAGAAUAUCAAAAGGUAUAUAAUCAGUAUGGUUUAUAAAGUUUUGCAUUUGUAUAACAGACAUGUGAAAAUCAGAAUAAUCGAAAUCAUAUGGUAUAUUCCAACCUUGAGCACCAAAGUUUUUUCUUUCUCCUAUAAUUAUAUGAAAUAAGGACAACCCAAAAAGUAAUUUUGAGAAUAUUUUAUCUUUUCCUGGACAGCCUUCAAAAAAGUUUUUCCUUGUUAUUGGUUCAGAUUGAUAAAUAUUUAGCAAUAUUUCUUUAAUAUUCAAAGAAUAAUCAUGUGAUAUCUUUAUGCUAUUUUGCAAAAUACUAAGUGGAAAUUCUUUGGUAGGGUAACUAGAUAACCAUAAUCUGAAACCUAAAGACGUAUUAGAAAUGCUGCAAUUUUCGCAGAUCUUUUCAAGGUUAAUCAUCCAAUGAGGUACCAAAUGACAAUUCUGUAGGAACACCCAAUUGCCUUCAGUCUGAGCUCUGCGUAUAAGAAAUUCAGCUGUUUUAUCUUGACCUUUACUCAUAGAUAAAGAAAUAAACUUUGACAAACAACCCUUUGUUUUUGCAUAUGCAGAAAUAAGAGAUAAAGGUGACAAACAACUUGGUAGAAUGAAUAAAAUAGGAGUUAAACAACUAGAUUCUGCGUAUGAUUGAGAUAUUUUUAGUUGUGAAGAGUAAUUUUGUGUAUUUCCUAGUAUAUCUUCUAUCAUUUGCAUAAUCUGUACUAUAAUUUUAUCAGGCUUCAAAGUUUUGUGUUUCAGAAAUAUAAUAUUCCUUCCACUUUUCAACAUUACAACAAAGAUCAUUUACAAGGCCAUUAAAAGCAGUUCCAGCAUUGGGUGUAAGAUCAACAUUACAUAUUGCAGACAUUUCUAGCCAGUGAGAUUUUUGGAGAGCUGGGUUACACAUACAUACUAUUAAUGGACUGAUAAAGAGUUGACCAUCCUGUAGAAUAAGUUGAAAUUUAAUUUGUGGACAAUAAUAUUGAUUACUCAUAAUGGUUAACAUAUAAUCUAUGGACUGCAUCAUAAUGUUUAUAAUUUGUUGUACAAAAACAUGUGUUAUACAUCGCAUGAUAUGUAGUAGUUGCUUUGUAUUAAUAUUUCUUAGUAAUUUUGUUUUUGUUAUAAUUCUAGAUAAUUCUUUAUACAGUUGAUUAAAUAUUAAAGAUCCUUUUUUAAUGUCAUUAGUAAUUAUGCUUUGGAAAUCCUUCAAUGACAUAAGAUUAAAACAAUUAUGUUUAAAGUUACAAAUAAAUGUUGGUAGUAUAAGUUGUCCUGCGUUUAUAAUAAAUCUUAUUGGUUCCAAAUAAAGAAAGUAUUUUGUAGCUAAUAAUCUACGAUGUUUUACAAAUUUGUUAUAGUUGAAAAUAUUGUUUUCUUUCGUGAAACAUGUAACAGAAAAAAUGUUCUUUUCCUUUUUCGGUGAUAAUAAUAUAACUUUCAUUGCAAAGGUUUGCAUGUCUUUAGUGAGGAUUUCUUUUACUUCCAUUAGCAUUGAUUGUACUAAUAAAGAAUAUUUUUUCUUGUACUUUUUUGAUAAGAAAUUUAAAAUAUUCUCCUCCCAAUCUAUAGGGAGUUCUUUAAUAUUAUCAUAUUUUAAACAUUUUUCAAUUUCAUUAUAUAUUUUGUUAUGGUCAGGCGUUGAAAUAAUAUUUAAACUAUUAAAACUAUGUACAUUUACCCUAGUUGUAUCCAUGCCUUUUGCAAAUAAAUUGUUGCCACAAAAGUUUGAUGUAUUAUUAUGAAAUUCUAGUGAAAUAAACAUAAGUUAUUGCGAGUUUAUAUAUGAAUAGAUCUAAACUUUUAUAGUUUUUAUAAUUGAUUUGUAAAUAUACAAAGCACUUGGGUCAUUCAACUUUAU